rnacentral:lncRNA from 1 species
GAAGAUACAUUGGUUCUGACCAUCAUGCUUUGCUGACCUCACCACACUAUUGUGGGGAAAAUCCCUACCAUAGCAAGCAUUGGGUAAAUUAUUAUCUACUCUUGCACAAAAUAAAUCAAUCAGCUCUACAAUCUAUUGCUCCAGAAGAGUUCAUCUUUUGCCCUAGGUGAGUGUUUGUUAUUUGGAUAUAAUUUAAAACACACUGCUUUCAAAAAUACUUAAUUUGUUUUUAUUUUUAUGAUGCAUAAAAUUGUGUAUCCUGUUUAAAGCAGGGUUUUAUGGUGCCAAAUAAGUAAACUCCUAUUGAUGAGAACUUCAAAAACCAAAAGAACACCUGGUCCUGGUAGGGAUUAAAACAAACAGAAAAGAGUAUUAAAUUCUAGGCAAGCAGUACCUUCCUUGUAUCACCCAGAAGAUAGAGAAACUCAGAAAGAAAACAAAAUGCAACAGUGAGAAAGAGAUUCACAAAGGUACUUGCUCCCCACAAAUUCUGCACCUUCCUCCAUGCUUCCUGUUCCCUCUACCAAACCUCCAAGAAGUGAAGGAAAACAGAUGAGUUGCUCAAUCCAUUCGUCUACCUGACUGGGGAAUCUAAAUGUCCAUUUCCUCUUGCACUGCUCCAGGCUGGAGAAGAAUUCGGUGUAGCAGCUUCUGAGAAGUUGAAGGAGGGGCCAGGCAGAAACUGUCCUAGAGUAAGCACUGAGGGGAGCAAUGCACUUGGCAUACUCAGAGCUGAAACACUUCCAGUGGAGGUCACCUGCAGCCACUGGCAGCCUUAUUUGCAUUUUCUGAAGCCCCCUCUUUUCCCCAUCCUUGGAGUCAAGGUACAUUUACCUGCUGAGAAGUCAGAAGUCUCCCUCUGAUGCAACACAUGUGGCAUUUUCUGAAGCUGAUAGUGUUCAUGGAAAAGGGCAAAGAAUGCUUUUAUGCCCAUUCAGAGAAGAAGUCCCUUAAAUAAACAGUGUUUUCUGUGCCUUGGAACCUGCAAACCCGGGGACUCAGUCCUACUCAUCACAGGCUAAUUCCCCGGCAUGACAUAGCCUUCUAGCUCAAUUGAGCAUGUCCAAAAUGUGAGCAUGUUAGAGGCUUGUUAAAACACAGAUUGCUGGGUCCCACCCCACGGGUUCCAUAGGUCUGAGAUGGGGCCCCCAAAACAUGCAUUUCUAACAAGCUCCCAGGUAAUUCUGAUGCUGCUGGUAUGGGAAAAACACACACAAAGCUCCAGAGAGAGCUUUGUAGAAUUCCUGCCGCUCUGUUAACACAUGCAACACCAUUCCUAUACACCGGAGCUUCAAACAUUCCAGAAUACCAUAUUAUUUAAAAUCUCAGAUGCACAAGUAAGUGUUCGAAGUUAGAGGUAGUGGGAGUGAAGAAAUAAGGACAGGUUGAGCCCAGACUGAACAGUAACUUAAGAAUAAACCUCUUGAGGACUGGUGGAUCCAAUAAAGAGGAAGCUGAGAGAGCUUGUUUAUAGUCAGGCUUUCUACCUGCUUUCUGAGAGCACCAAAGUUGGUCUGGGCAAAGCCAGUCUUACCCUGCCCUGCCCUGCCCUGCCCGGACCUGCCCAAAGUGUUUUCUCCUUUCUCAGGAGGGAAUAGACUUAUAUCCCAGGCACAGGAUAGUGGCUGUAUUUGCAUUCCCUUCCCAGGAAAAGACAGGAGCAUCUCUCCUGCCUGCCCUAUGGACCCGUUAGCAUCUCCUCCAUCAAGUUCCCAUUUGGACCCUAGGAGUUCAAUAUCAACAGCUGAAAGGAAGGUAUCCUGAAUCUCAUAUGCAGUCACAGUUCUGGAAAGUCUGGAGGUCAGGAGCUACAAAGUGGAUGAGGGACCUGACUCUUGUCUUAUCCAAAUGACUUUACCCAUGUCAUUCUCUCUAAAUGGAUAUCCCUUUCUCCUGGGUCUCUUGGUGAACUCCUAGCCUUCUUUCAAAUCUCCACUCAGGCAUUUCGUCUCUGGGAAGCAAUCCUCAGCAUCUUGGGUAGACUCCGCAGAUCUCCUCUGUGCUUUUGCUCGAGGACAUCCACACUUCAGUACUGUGUGAGUCUAAGAGACAGGACCAACGUUCUUAACUUGUGAGUAUCCCUAGCCUGUCUCCUCUCUCCUCACCAUCGAAAGAGGCCUUUUCCCAUUGGUUUUUGCCACUCUCCCUGGGGAUAAAGAUUUCCCUUGCAGAAUUAUUCUUUUCUGUAAUAUAGCAUCAAAAGUUAGGGAGAGAAAAAUGAAGAGGCAGAAGGAAAGGAGGAUAUUUAGUAGAGAUGAAAGGCAUGUGGACUCGGGCUAGAAAGAUUUCUUUUCUCUCUACAAGGGUAAAGGGAAAAGUGCACAGGCCAGGGCAGUUUUCUGCAGCGUUUUGAGGAAAGAGUGCCAGGGCAGACUCAGGGUGUGAGGAAGUGGAUAGAAAAUGGAAGGAGGCUGAAUUAAGGGUAGCCUGUGUAGAUUCCAUUUACAGAGUUUGAAAAUACAAGGUUGGGCACAGUGGCUCACGCCUGUAAUCCCAGCACUUCAGGAGCCCAAGGUGGGCGGAUCAUGAGGUCAGGAGAUCGAGACCAUUCUGGCCAACAUGGUGAAACCCUGUCUCUACUAAAAUACACAAAAAAAUAAGCGGGGCAUAGUGGUGCGCACCUGUAGUCCCAGCUGCUCGGGAGGCUGAGGCAGGAGAAUGGCGUGAACCCAGGAGGCGGAGGUUGCAGUGAGCCGAGAUUGCGCCACUGCACUCCAGCAGCCUGGUGACAGAGCAAUACUCUGUCAAAAAAAGAAGAAGAAGAAGGAGAAGGAGAAAGAGCAAAGAACUUAAGUUUUUCUGAAAUAUCUUUCACUCCCUCUUUCUUUGACUGCUCUGGGACUAUAUGUUUUUGUUGGGUUACAUUUUAGUCCUUCUCUAAAGUCCUUUGAUUUUGCCCUUCUCAGUGUUGGGCACAGAGGCUGGCCCAUGAUAUUAUAUAAGGUUGAUGUAAAAGUAAAUGCAAAAUCGAGUAAUGGCAAAAACCACAAUUAACGUUUGCACCAACCUAACAGAUGUGCAGACUGGGUUAGCCUCUCUCCUCCCUUCUUUCCUCUGUCAGUCUUGAGAAGCCCAUCGUGCUGAAAGGGCGACAGCAUGGAUCAGGGGCUGACAGGACAACUGGAGGGAGAGAGGCCAAUAAAACAUCCCCCUAAGCCUCCCUGGACCGAAUACCAGCCACAUAGUGCUGAUCUUGGCUGGAAGCCCACCAUUUACCAACCCCCUACGGGCCUCUGGGGUAUGGCUAAUUAAAGACAUGGUUACUCAUUUCAUUCCCAAGUCACUAUUUAAGGAAGCAGAAUCAUGCCAUUCCUACAAGGCCUCUGACCCUACACUAGAGGCAAACAAUGCUAAGGCUUGUCCAAGUGGCUGUAAGUACAAGGCUAUCCAAAGAGCACGGGAGGGGGCAGAGGAGGGGAGACCACAGGCCCCACAGCUGGGCCAGCUGCUGGACUGUCCCUUCUUCAAUGUCCUCCUCUCUCCCUUUCCCCAAGGGGCCAGGAUCUAGUGACAACCCCUCUAUAACCAACCCCCCUGCCAGGGCAACUCCUGUGUUUUCUGGGCAUACUCAGAGUCACACAGCUGACUCAGAAAAAAGCACCAAAACGAUCUCCUUUUGAAUUUCAACUAGCAGCAAUUUGGAGCGUUUGGGAUUUUUCAGUUAUUCUUUAAGAAGUAAAGAAAAACAUGGCUUUUAAUCAACUAACUCUUGUUGAGAUCUGCUCUAUGCCAGGCCUGGUGCUAAGAUGAGGAAGAACAAUGUAUGAAAUGUAAUUCCUGCCCUCAAAGAGUAUCUAGUCUUAUAGAUGAAAUAGACACAUAAACAAAUAAAUUACACCAAUGCGGAAUAAGCAUAAACGCAGAUAUGUACUAAGCACAGUACAGAGUAGGUGGUGAUAACCUCUCACUGACAGGAGAAGAAAGGUAUGCUAGAAAUCUAAGGCGGGCUUUGAGGGGCAAAUGGGAGUUCAUCAGGUAACCAAGUGAGGGAAGAACAUCCCCAGCAGAGAAAAAUCCUAUGCGAAUUCAUUUAGAUCACAGAGAAAUAGGUUGAACCUACUAGUUCCAGUGGGUCUCAAGCUUUUUUAACAAACAACUCUUAAUACAAGAUAAAUGGGGAAUGGGGAUGCCUGUUCUGAAACAUCCAGUGCAAGCAUAAAAUGUCUUAGACUGGCCAGGUGUGUUGGCUCAUGAUUAUAAUCCCAGCACUUUGGGAGCCCAAGGCAAGAGGAUUGCUUGAGGCCACGAGUUUGCAGCUGCAGUGAGCUAUGGAUUCCACCACUGCACUUCAGCCUGGGUGAUGG